rnacentral:rRNA from 1 species
UGCCUUGAUCGAGUGCUUGCACAAGAUGAUCAGUAGCGCUGGUUAGCGGCAAACGGGUGAGUAACGCGUAAGAAUUCUCUUUUAGCGGAGCAUAGCUCAUCGAAAGGUGAGGUAAUUCUCCAUAGUACCGAGAGGUUAAAGCAGCAAUGCACUAAAAGCGAAGCUUGCGUCCCAUCAGGUAGUUGGUAGGGUAAUAGCCUACCAAGCCAUAGACGGGUAGCUGGUCUGAGAGGAUGGUCAGCCACACUGGAACUGCGACACGGUCCAGACACCUACGGGUGGCAGCAGUGGGGAAUUUUCGGCAAUGGGGGCAACCCUGACCGAGCCAUGCCGCGUGCAGGAUGACGGCCCUUCGGGUUGUAAACUGCUGUGGAGAUCUACUAAUUCUGAAGAGAUCUCUAGAAAGAGGUUGCUAACUCUGUGCCAGCAGCAGCGGUAAUACAGAGACCUCGAGCGUUAUCCGGAAUCAUUGGGCGUAAAGCGUUCCGAUCGGUUGUUUAGUGUGUCUGAAGUGAAAGACCGGAGCUCAACUCCGUGUUUGCUUUGGAAACUGCUAGACUAGAGUAGUAAAGGGGUGGCUAGAACUCUGCAAGUAGCGGUGAAAUGCGUUGAUAUGCAGGGGAAUACCGAAAGCGAAGGCAGGCCACUGGGUACUUACUGGCACUGCUAGGACGAAAGCGUGGGGAGCGAAUAGGAUUAGAUACCCUAGUAGUCCACGCCCUAAACGAUGAGUGCUUGCUUUUGGGGAAAAUCAAUCUUCUUCAGAGGCAAAAGCUAACGCCAUAAGCACUCCGCCUGUAGAGUACGGCCGCAAGGCUAAAACACGAAGGAAUUGACGGGGACCCGCACAAGCGGUGGAUCAUG